rnacentral:rRNA from 1 species
AGCUGGCGCCUUCGGCGUCCGCAUUGUAAUCUCAAGAAGUGUUUUCCGCUUCGGACCAUGCCUAAGUCCCUUGGAAAAGGGCAUCAUAGAGGGUGAUAAUCCCGUACAUGGCAUGGAGCGCCCGAAGCUUUGUGAUACGCUUUCUAAGAGUCGAGUUGUUUGGGAAUGCAGCUCAAAAUGGGUGGUAAAUGCCAUCUAAGGCUAAAUAUUGGGGAGAGACCGAUAGCGAACAAGUACAGUGAUGGAAAGAUGAAAAGAACUUUGAAAAGAGAGUUAAACAGUACGUGAAAUUGCCAAAAGGGAAGGGUAGGAGGUCAGAGAUGCGGCCUGGGAUUCAGCCUUGCUUUUGCUUGGUGUUUUUCCCAGAUUGCAGGCCAACGUCGGUUUUGGGCACUGGAGAAGGGUAGGAGGAACGUGGCACCUCUCGGGGUGUGUUAUAGCCUCCUACUGGAUACAGCGACCGAGACCGAGGACAGCAGCGUACUCGCAAGAGCGGGCCUUCGGGCACCUUUACGCUUAGGGCGUUGGCAUAAUGGCCCUCUACCACCCGUCUUGA